GUCAAGCUGGGCAGUGAAAUGGGCCCAACCCGAUUCCAAUCCGGGUCAGGCCCAUUUCCUUAUUAUUUAAGGGAGUUUUCAGCCCCCUCCUCCACAUUUCAGAUCAGAAAAUUCCAUUAGAGAGAGAGAGAAAACUUCAAGGCUAAGAAGGUCAUUUUGAUCAAAAUCCGAGCUCCGAAUCCCGAAGCUCAUGAAGAGAAAAACGUUGUACGUUGCAUUGCCUUCAAUUUGAGAUAAAUAUUGGUCUUGGGGGAUGAAAUUUUCGUGGUGGAUCUUCUGAUAAGAUUUUGGAUGAAAUUGAAGUCGACGCCAAGCGAGCGUAAGGCGCUAUCGAGGUACAGGCGCACUCGGUGACACGCCGCCAGUCUAGGGCACAGGUUCU